rnacentral:rRNA from 1 species
AGAGUUUGAUCCUGGCUCAGGACGAACGCUGGCGGCAUGCCUAACACAUGCAAGUCGAACGGACAUGGCGAGGAUAUAGCGAUAUAUUUUGAGCUAUGUUAGUGGCGAACGGGUGAGUAACACGUGAGCAACCUGCCCUUUACUACGGGAUAACGCUCGGAAACAGGCCGCUAAUACGGUAUAAGACCACACUAUGGCAUCAUAGAGCGGUAAAAGCGAUUUAGCGGUAAAGGAUGGGCUCGCGUCCAAUUAGCUGGUUGGUAGGGGUAACGGCCUACCAAGGCGACGAUUGGUAGCCGACCUGAGAGGGUGAUCGGCCACACUGGAACUGAGACACGGUCCAGACUCCUACGGGAGGCAGCAGUGGGGAAUAUUGGGCAAUGGAGGAAACUCUUACCCAGCAAUGCCGCGUGAGCGAAGAAGGUCUUCGGAUUGUAAAGCUCUUUGAU